UCUCCCAGGAGAUCUGAGUGACAUUAAUCACUCAUCACUCUGUGAAGCCCUCUAUUCCAGACAGAAAGUAGAUCAUGCCCUCCUCAUGAACUUUGCUAGCAACCUCUCUGAUUACUUUCUUUUGUUGGAAGAUCAUAUUCAUUGCACCCCCAAAUUCGCUGCUGCCAUCUCUUCGGCCUUAUCAGCCUUAUCAACCUGGAAAGAACUACCUUGGGUGAUCCUGGAGUUCUCCCACCUGAGCAUCUCUGGGAAAGUUUUCUGCACCAGUGACCUCUCCCGCCUGAACACUUUUUUCCUCCUCUUCCAUAAGGACACUCCUACUCACUUGCUUCUCUCUGAAUUUCGUCUUCUCUUGGCCCAGAAUGUUCCUAUUCAUUUCAGUCCCUCUGUCUUCCACCACACAGGCAACUAUUCUGUGUUUGAUGACAUGUGCUUUUCUGUGGAGAAGGACAGGGUCUUUGGUGAACCAGACAACCCUGUUGCUACUGUCCUUACUGACAUGGUAUCAAUGUUGGCUGUGAUUCUACAAUACACUUAUACACUGAACAAGGAGGGCUACUCUACCUUAAAUCCUUUAAAAGGAAACUACUUGACAGUGAUUCUGGACAGGCCACAAAAGACACCCAGAUAGCAGUGCUGACAGGCUCCGACAAAGACGGGAGGUACCGACUGCAGCAGGGGCAAGUGGAACUGGGCUAUGACCCCCAGGAGGAUCCCAAAAGCUGUGCUCGCUAUGCCCUGCUAGGGCCACUGGUGGGAGGAAAUUUGGACCAGGUAGUAUUUUCUGAAGAAGAGUCUGUGGAACAGUUGAAUUGUAUCCGGCUGCUGGUGUUGGCAUCUCAAGAGUCUUGACUCCUGAUCAAGCAGAUCAAAGUCUGGACUGAGCCUGAGGAAGAGGAGAGAUAGAGGGCACAAUGGGGAUUCUCGAAGAAGUGGGUCUGAGAAUGGAAUCUACAUGGUUGGGAAGAAAUAAACCCAGGCACCGA